rnacentral:miRNA from 1 species
CAGCUAUCAAGAAGCUCCUGGGUAAGUUUGGCAUCUGGAUUGUAAACAAUACAGAUGCCAAACUUACCCAGAAGCCUAAUGAGAGCUGGGAUUAAUG